AGGCGGCGGCACCCCCGCCGGGACCCGGCCCUCCCACCCACCGCCAGCACGGGGGCUCGCACCGGGAUUUCUGUUUCAUUUCGUUUUUGCCAAUCACACUGUGUUCUGAUUUUCCGGCCAAUUUUAAGUAGCUGAUGUUUUGUUUGGCUGCUGUUUUAUUUGCUGUCAAAAAGAAUUUGAUGCAGAAACCAUUUAAGCAUGUAUACAACCCAUGGAGGGAUUCAUUUGACCUCAUUAUACUGCAAUAAAGAAGAAAUCCAGUUUGUUAAAUAUCACCGAACCGCAUGCAUUUCACAUCAGAUCAUAAGAGUUAUGCUUCAAAAGAUUAUUCCAGAAAGUGCUUGGGAAGACGGAACGGGUUAACUUUACUUGCCAGAAGGUGUUCUGACAAACACAGGAAAAGAGAGAGAGAUGCAGCCCCCUUUAAGAGCAGAGCAACUGAAGAAAAAAGAGAUUUAUGCUUUUAAUUAAUGGCAAUUAAACCAUGCCUGUUGGCUUGGCCUAUGGCAAUUGUUCCCUGCAAAAAGGAGGCCGAGCUGGUGACAAGCAUUUGAAUCCGCUAAGUUCUGUCAAGGGAGCUGACUCUGCAGGCAUCAAAACCAAACUAAAUCAAUAAAAGAAUUAAACUUUUAUAAAUUGCAUUUUGACAAGUAUCAGAUACCGUUAAGCUUUGAUAUUAUGAAUUCCUCGGAGGAGAUGCAAACAAGAAGGGCCGCAGUUAGAGAUCCAAACAAUCAAAGAGGCUUGUUAACAUGCGCUGUCAAAUGCAUCAGUGCUAUUAAUUACUACAAAUUAAUGUGACUCUCUCUUCCUCUGGUGAUUGGAAUAAUAAUCAGCUGGAUUCAUGGAAUGAGCACAGAGAACAUAUGCAACCCUGCCAAAAAUAAUAAUUUAAGAAACCAGGAGACAUUUGCAAUCUUUAUGCUUACAGGCUUGAUAAUUUGCUUGUUGCUAGUGUGUCCCACUUUACCCCAUCCUCCUGAUUGCUGGGAACUGCCUCAUCUGCAUCCCAAACGGACAUGCUCCCACUCCCUGGCUGCACCAGCACUUGCCCUGAUGAUGAAGUCUUUCUCCUCUUCAGCAGAGCUGUGAAGGCAGAAGGACACACAGCCAAGCAUCUCACCCUGGCCAGCCAGGCAGAACUAUGGCCCUUGCUGUAGCCACAGCCCAUUCCCUGUAGCUGGGGCUGUCCAGAAAACCCUCUGCUACUUCAACUCCUGCACGCCACAGGAAAUCACAGACUGGAAAAGAGAAUGGUAUAUUUGGACAUGUGGAACUGGUAAGGAGAAAAUAAAACCACGGUGCACGUACAUCUGUCAAGCUGUGACCCUAUUUCAGUAGCACAAGGUCCUCAUGCAGACAAAUGCAGUCUUUUGGAGAUACUCUGACACGGGCCUGGAGUACAUAGCACUCCUUCAUUUGCACUUCAAGUGCUCUGAAUCUGGGCAAGGACUCCAGUCUCAGAGGCAGAUCCUUCAGCCGUUUACAUCAUGGCUUGGGAGGGAAGAGCUGAAGGCACUUAAAGACUGCACAGAAUCCAGCGCUGGUCUCAUGGAGCAGCAUGUGUUAUUGCUGCAAGACCCCCACCUCCAGGCUCUGCAAGGACCUGCCCUGUCCAACACCCCUCUACCCCCUGUAUCCUGUGGGAUCUGUGGGGAACCUUCCCAGCAGCAGGAGGGAGGAUGCAGGAGUGAAGGGGAAACGAAAGAAAGAAAACUCAAAGGAUGGUUGGCCAAUGUGCUGAAUGUAGGAAUAACUGAGUGCAUUACACCAGCAGGGGCUGCACAUAUGGAUGCAAAGGAGGCCUGAUAGCUAUACAGCUACUUUUUCCCUAGAAGAUAUUCUUUCUGGGACUGCUGAAGAGAAGUGAGAAAUUUAAAGGAUUUAGUCAAGAAGAAAAAUGACCAAGGUGUUCCCUUGCUAUUUAGGAGAUCUGAUUAGUGAGAAGGCAGUGGAAGAAUGAAGAAAAGAAAAAUAUCAAAAGGGUGAACAAUUAGCAGCCCAGUUUACAACAGUAGAUACCAUUAGAUAAACCAGCUGCUUCUUUUAACAGACAUGCAGCAAGAACGCAGAUAACCUGGCAACUCAGACAUCCAAAAGAGCCUGCAGAACCUCCCUUCCACAGGGAGUGAUGGCAAAGCUCAGAGCUGGAUCUCACAAGAAACAGAAUCACUUACCAGGCUUAGAUGGGACUCGAGCAUAAGGAAAAAAACAGAUGCACUGAGAACAUAGGAGCAGAGAGAGUGGUAGAGGAGGAAGCAUCAGAAGUAGUGGUUUGUAAUAUAAAAAUCAGAUGGGACCUAUCAAGGGUUGAUAGCCAGAAGAGUGCAGAGCCCAAAGCUGGAGGGGAAAAGCUGCUUUAUGGAGUCAGGCAACUGGAAUGGGGCAGACACACUCACAGGGAACAGCCUUGUGAUGGUUGCAGAAAGCAGAAGGAAGCUGAGCAGUGUCACACCUCUGCACCAGCACGGUACCAGCGUCACUGGAUCAAAACCACAAACCAAAGUGCUCUGCUCAGCCACGGUGCAGCAAGAACCAAACCACUGCCAGCUCUUCUGUGCACCUCCAGCUGUCUGCCUGGUUCACGACGCUCAGGCAUAGCCCUGACGGGAGAGGAGAGUCUGUAACAUUGCUCCAACCUGGGAAUAUGCAGGCUGUGGCCAGCAGAGUUCAUGGAGGGAGAUGAGGGCAAAUUUCCUGAUAUCACAAAGAGCUCCUUAGAGAGCCAAAGCAGGGUUCACUGCUUUGGCACCUCCUCUAGCUUGCCUGAGUACCACCCAGCACGCCCGUGGCAGUGCCAGAGCUGCCAGCACAGCACACACAGCACAGUGGAAGGCUGGUGGCACUGCUGGUGGCACUGCCGGUGGCCAGCACGGUGCUGCACAAAGCCAGGCUCUGCUGGGGGCCACCAGUGGGGUGCUGAGGCAAAAACAACCAGUCACAGUGGGCUGGGAAAGGCUGAGGCCCCCAGGAGGAGCGGGCAGUUUCCAUCACCUACAGAUGUACCUCUGCUGGGCCAUGGUGAGCCACCCUGGAGGUGCACAGCCUCUGCUCCACACCUCGGCACCCCCAAACCAAGACACCCCGCCAGCUCUUCAGAGCUGGUGCCUUCAACACAGCCAAGACAAGGGGCUUGGCAAGGAGCUGGGCAGGCAGACCAGUGAGCAGGUGACCCACAGAACCUCCUGGAAAUAUUUUGUGUACUCAGCACUCAACAGGAAAACCCCAACAAGCACAAAACAUUCGUUCCUUAUAAGAACGCACUGCAAUAUUCACUUUCCUUGUGAUAAAUAGAUUAUAGGAUUUUUCCCUGUCUUCUUUUCUCCCCCCAUUAUCAUUUAACCAGUUCUUAAAUUACAAGUUACUAAGACUCCAUUCGAGUGUUGCAGUUUUCAUGUUGUGAAUCUUGGGUUAAACAAUUCUUUCUCAAAUAAAUACUCCUUUUUCAGUUUCUACUGAUGCUUUUGUUGUUCACAGUAAUCAAGUUCCCAGCUGGCUAACCUCUCACCUAACACAACGUCUUCAUCUUUCAUUUGAACAAAAUUUAUCAUCCAUAAGCAAAGACAGAAAAUGUGUGAAUGUCUAAAGCUUAUGUAAAUUAAGAGGCUCUGCACACUGGUCCUAAAAAUAGUAGAUAAUAACAAGCAUUUCUUCAGCAUACUAUAAUUAUGGGCCUGCUGUCAUGUCUUGCAUUGUCUAUAAGGUCACCGUUGUAUUAUACAAAAUUUACAGUAUAUUAUCAGUUAAAAACACAAUAAUUAGCAAGCCCACGUCUUCCAGCUUCAGCACCAGUGAUGAAUGUUCACAAAAAGGAGGAAAAAAAAGGCAUGUUGUUUACUUUAUGUGGACAAUACACACUUAAAUUUAAUCAUCACUGUCUGCUAUCCAGCGGGUGAUAUUCCUUUGCUAUUAUAACACUAUUUGCCAAGAUCAGACUACACCCUUGGGGUGAAUUUGUCCUUAAUGAAGGGACAAGGAGCCAAAUCUUUCACUAUCAUAUCACUGACAUACACUUAGACAUAUUUCUUUAAACUUUAUAAUGCUGUAUGACUUAUUCUAAGAUAAUGUCUGGGUGAACAUCUCAGGCAUUAUUUUGAGCACUAUAAUAAACCUUUAAACUUAACCUUCCAAUUUUUCAACUCACAAAGUAUGUGUAUUGAGAGAAUCUCUCCCAUAAUGUGAGUCUUUUUUUUGAUUUCUUGAAAAAUGGAAUUUGAAGAAAGAUGAGGGAAAUUGCACCCAGACCACAAGUGCCACAGCUUCCAGCAAAGGCCCUCAAGAGGUUACUCAGUUUCCACAUUGUCCCAUCCAGCCACUUUAGAUUUUUCUGGUUGUAGUGGCCAACCAGCAGGUGUGGCUGUUCCACCCUCACCAGCCACCAUAUCACCUGUGGUCAUUCACAAAAGAGAUCAUCUAAAAAAAAUCCUACCAAGAGAUCAGAACUGGUGAUCUUUACUCCUCAAUGACCAGGAAAAAAAAAAAACAAAACCUUGGAAAAAGUUUAUAAUUUUCUCAGUGGAAAAAAAGAAGAGGACAGAAAGCUCUCUGUUAGAAAUGAGCAAAUAAAGCAUUUCCAGACUGUGUA